rnacentral:lncRNA from 1 species
UUAAAUCUUACCUUCAAAAACAUUAUGUAAUAUAAGUUUGAGUCCUAUAAUUUGAGGCUACAUAUGGUGUCCCUUUAUCAGCAGACUACUUGAAACUAAAGUUAUAUCUUGCAUUUUGAUAACAACCGCUUUAGAUUUUGAUUGGGAGAUUACUACUAACACUUUUUGUUUGGGGAAAUUUCUGGGAAAGAAAGUGAAAAAAAUAUAGGAAAUAAAGAAUAUCAUUUAUUUUCCAAACAAGGGGAAAUAUCAUUUUUUAUUUUCCUUUCCUACUUCCCACUCACCCAAACAAAUACUAAAUUAUUGUGAAUUAGGGUGGAUCUUGGACACAGAAUCUCAACGUCAUUUUGCCUACUUUUAAUCACAUCUCUUUUUAGCUCAUAAUCAACACACCAUGAC